rnacentral:rRNA from 1 species
ACAUACGACCAUAGGGUGUGGAGAACAGGGCUUCCCGUCCGCUCAGCCGUACUUAAGCCACACGCCGGUAAGUUAGUAGUUAGGUGGGUGACCACUAGCGAAUCCUCACUGUUGUAUGUU